UCCUGACUGACCGAUAGUGAACCAGUACCGUGAGGGAAAGGCGAAAAGAACCCCGGCGAGGGGAGUGAAAAAGAACCUGAAACCGUGUACGUACAAGCAGUGGGAGCACGCUUAGGCGUGUGACUGCGUACCUUUUGUAUAAUGGGUCAGCGACUUAUAUUCUGUAGCAAGGUUAACCGAAUAGGGGAGCCGAAGGGAAACCGAGUCUUAACUGGGCGUUAAGUUGCAGGGUAUAGACCCGAAACCCGGUGAUCUAGCCAUGGGCAGGUUGAAGGUUGGGUAACACUAACUGGAGGACCGAACCGACUAAUGUUGAAAAAUUAGCGGAUGACUUGUGGCUGGGGGUGAAAGGCCAAUCAAACCGGGAGAUAGCUGGUUCUCCCCGAAAGCUAUUUAGGUAGCGCCUCGUGAAUUCAUCUCCGGGGGUAGAGCACUGUUUCGGCAAGGGGGUCAUCCCGACUUACCAACCCGAUGCAAACUGCGAAUACCGGAGAAUGUUAUCACGGGAGACACACGGCGGGUGCUAACGUCCGUCGUGAAGAGGGAAACAACCCAGACCGCCAGCUAAGGUCCCAAAGUCAUGGUUAAGUGGGAAACGAUGUGGGAAGGCCCAGACAGCCAGGAUGUUGGCUUAGAAGCAGCCAUCAUUUAAAGAAAGCGUAAUAGCUCACUGGUCGAGUCGGCCUGCGCGGAAGAUGUAACGGGGCUAAACCAUGCACCGAAGCUGCGGCAGCGACGCUUAUGCGUUGUUGGGUAGGGGAGCGUUCUGUAAGCCUGCGAAGGUGUGCUGUGAGGCAUGCUGGAGGUAUCAGAAGUGCGAAUGCUGACAUAAGUAACGAUAAAGCGGGUGAAAAGCCCGCUCGCCGGAAGACCAAGGGUUCCUGUCCAACGUUAAUCGG
rnacentral:rRNA from 1 species